AUUGAACGCUGGCGGCAGGCCUAACACAUGCAAGUCGAGCGAGCGGCGGACGGGUGAGUAAUGUCUGGGAAACCGCCUGAUGGAGGGGGAUAACUACUGGAAACGGUAGCUAAUACCGCAUACCAUCAGAUGUGCCCAGAUGGGAUUAGCUGGUGGGUGGGGUAAUGGCUCACCUAGGCGACGAGCCCUAGCUGGUCUGAGAGGAUGACCAGCCAAACUGGAACGGAGACACGGUCCAGACUCCUACGGGAGGCAGCAGUGGGGAAUAGUGCAGAAUGGGCGCAAGCCUGAUGCAGCCAUGCCGCGUGUGUGAAGAAGGCCUUCGGGUUGUAAAGUACUUUCAGCGGGGAGGCGUUACCCGCAGAAGAAGCACCGGCUAACGCCGUGCCAGCCGCCGCGGUAAUAC
rnacentral:rRNA from 1 species